GAUGAAGAACGUAGCGAAAUGCGAUACGUAAUGUGAAUUGCAGAAUUCAGUGAAUCAUCGAAUCUUUGAACGCAUAUUGCGCUCUCUGGUAUUCCGGAGAGCAUGCUUGUUUGAGUAUCAGUAAACACCUCAACUCUUUUUUCUUUUUUGAAAUUGGAGCUGGACUUGAGUGAUCCCAACGCUUUCUUCCAAGAAAGUGGCGGGUUGCUUGAAAUGCAGGUGCAGCUGAACUUUUCUCUGAGCUAUAAGCAUAUCUAUUUAGUCUGCCUAAAAAACAGAUUAUUACCUUUGUUGCAGCUAACAUAAAGGAGACUAGUUCUUGUGCUGACUGAUGCAGGAUUCACAGAGACAGCUUCGGCUGACUUUGUAAACUCGAUCUCAAAUCAAGUAAGACUACCCGCUGAACUUAAGCAUAUCAAUAAGCGGAGGA
rnacentral:misc_RNA from 1 species